UACGGAGGGUCCAAGCGUUAUCCGGAAUCAUUGGGUUUAAAGGGUCCGUAGGCGGUUUUGUAAGUCAGUGGUGAAAGCCCAUCGCUCAACGGUGGAACGGCCAUUGAUACUGCAAGACUUGAAUUAUUAGGAAGUAACUAGAAUAUGUAGUGUAGCGGUGAAAUGCUUAGAGAUUACAUGGAAUACCAAUUGCGAAGGCAGGUUACUACUAAAUGGAUUGACGCUGAUGGACGAAAGCGUGGGGAGCGAACAGG
rnacentral:rRNA from 1 species